GUCAGGUGCAUAAAAUCAGGUGCAUUUAAGUAAAAAGGUCUUAGAAGCUAAGCAGGGUUGGGCCUGGUUAGUACUUGGAUGGGAGACCACCUAGGAAGACCAGGAGCUGUAGACG
rnacentral:rRNA from 1 species